GCAGGUUGUGCUGCUGCAGCUGUUGCCGGCGAUCGAUGGUGUGGUGUCGACUGCGAGGACGGUGAGUGUCCACCGCUGGAGCGCCGAGGGGUCCUGGGCGACACUGGUGCUGCCGAUGCCGACGACGGUGAAUGUAUGUUGAAUAACUUGUUGCACGUAUGCAUGUUUCCCUUUGGUUCAGUAGUGCAUUGUCACGUUGUUUAGGUGCAUUGCAUAAUUAGCUAGGCGUUUAGAGGUCACGAGUUAGCCAGAGGCGUGCUUGGUUCACGUCGUGGCCCAAGUCUUCCUUUUCUUUUGGAUUGCCGCAGCAUCUGCGGCAUGCACGUAGCGGGUGUCGCGGGCAACAACGCGCGUCGCGCACCGUUGGUGGUGUGGCGUGGGAUUCGGUCGUUAAGGCCAUGUAAUCCGGUGCAUAAAUACAAGUUUGUUUGGCAUCGAGGCUGCAAUAUUAUGCAGCGAAAUACUUCCUACUCUCUCUCGCGUUGUGUUGGUGUUCAUCUUCCUCGAGUUCUAGACACUUUCAUGUUCGUGUGUGCGUGAUCCGAGCUGCAAACUGAGUUCAACUCCAACGCGUGGCAUCAGAGCAGGUUCAUCCAUGGCCGGUGAAACAUCUCCUCCGCCGUCACCCACAAAAGCUCAAGGCGACGACAAGAGCAAGGCCGGUUCAAUGAAGAUCGGUUCUACACCCAAGAACGGCGGAGAUGGCGCUGGCGGGUCGCAGCAAGUCGUGGUUGAGAGGGUGGUGAAGGAGAUCGGCGGAUAGAUCACGUAUCCGGAGCUGACGCGCUCGAAUUAUAGCGAGUGACCUCUUGUGAUGCAGGUGAAUCAUGAGGCGCAAGGGCUCUGGGAGGCGAUCAAUGACGGCACCAUGGAUCGGCGGGAGGAUCGGAUGGCACUGGCAGCGCUCCUGCGCGCCGUGCCGUUUGAGAUGCGCUUGACCCUUGCCAAGAAGAAGACUGCAAAGUAGGCGUGGGAGGCGAUCGAGACGAUGCGGCUCGGCAUUGAUCGUGUCAAGGCGGCCAAUGCCCAGAAGCUGCUGCAGGAGUUCGAGAACAUCACCUUCAAGGAAGGUGAGGCUGUCGACGAGUUCGCCAUGCGAAUUUCCAACCCCGCCAGGUGCAUCCGCAUGCUUGGUGAAACCCUGGAGGAGGCACGGGUCAUGAAGAAGAUGCUUCGUGUCGUACCCGCGCACUAUGGCCAAAUCGCUUUGUCGAUCGAAACUCUGCUCAAUCUGAGCAAGUUAUCGAUUGAAGAGCUGGUUGGGCGCUUGCGCGCUGCGGAGGACCAGUUUACCGGCAACGACGGCGGCAAGAUCCGCAACAAAUCCGGGCGACUGAUGAUGGCGGAAGAGGAUUGGCUCACGAAGUGGUGGAACAAGAUCCCUGGAGAAGCUACAUCAAGCGGAGAGAAGGUAGGUGGACAGGCUCAGAGCCUCGAAGAUCCAGUGCGGUGCUCGCUCCGAUGGCCGCAACGCUCCAGUGAAGCUGACGACCAAAGGCACCCCGCGGUGGAAGGGGCGGUGCCACAACUGCGGCAUCUAUGGCCGCUGAGCCAAAGAGUGCCAGAAGCCACAGAAGAAGAAGGAACGGCGGGAGGAGGCACACCUCGCCAAGGUCGACAUCGAACAGCCGGCGCUCCUGCUUGCAGCGACAGGCAAACACGAGUCCAUGACAUUGCACGUCGUCUACCUCAACGAACAGCGCGUGCGGCCGGCCGACUGCAAUGACGACAACGUGUGGUAUCUGGACUCGGGUGCCAGCAAUCACAUGGUGGGACGCCGUUCCACACUGGCGCAGAUCAACGAAACCGUGCGUGGAAUGGUCCGUUUCGGCGACGACUCACUGGUGGAGAUAUGCGGCCUUGACUCCGUCGUGAUCCAGGGACACCAGGAUGAGCACAAGGUACUCACGGAUGUGUACUUCAUACCUAAAUUAAGAAGAAACAUUGUGAGUCUAGGCCAGCUGGAGGAAGCGGGGUGCAAGAUCAUGAUGGAGAAUGUAGAGCUGUGUGUGCUCGAUCGUGAAUGCGCACUGCUUGUCAAGGCACCACGCACGGUGAACCGGCUGUACAAGGUGUCUCUCACACUUGCGUCACCGGUGUGCAUGCUGGCCAAGAAUGACGACGCGGCAUGGCUCUGGCAUGGCCGCUACGGCCAUCUGAAUUUCAGGGCACUGCGGGAACUUGACGUAAAGGAGAUGGCAGAGGGGAUGCCGGUAAUUAAUCAGCUUGAGCCGGUGUGCGAUGGCCGCACACGCGGCAAGCAGCACCGCGCACCGUUCCCCCAGGCAACGGCGUACAGAGCGGAGCGGCCCCUUGAGCUCGUGCACGCGGAUUUGUGCGGGCAGAUCAUGCCGCCAACGCCUGGUGGGAGGAACUAAUUUCUCCUCAUCGUGGAUGACCACAGCCGCUACAUAUGGGUGGAGCUCCUAGUGUUGAAGGACCAGGCGCUUGACUACAUCAAGAAGUACAAGAACUGCGCCGAGAGCGACCUGGAGACAAGGCUGAAGGCGGUGAGAACAGAUCGCGGUGGCGAGUUCAAUUCCAUCGCGUUCACGGGUUUCUGCGACGAGCACGGCAUCAAGCACUUCACCAUUUCUCCUUACACGCCCCAGCAAAAUGGUGUUGUAGAAUCAGACAGUUGUGGAGAUGGCAAGGUGCACGCUGAAGAGUAUGGGGUGCUGGCGCAGUUCUGCGGUGAGGCGGUACCGGCGGCCGUGUAUACGCUCAAUCGCGUGCCCACCAGAAGCCUCGACGGCCGUACUCCCUAUGAAGCCUGGCACAAGAAGAAGCCUAGUGUCUGUCGGGGAUAGAUUUCCAGUACCCGUAAGGAAGUAAGAAGGCGGAAUCCUACUAGAAUUCUCCUGUAAUCUUACAAGAACUCAUAUCAUGUAAUUCUUCUAGGACUCCUACUUUGUAACCAACUAGUAAUCCCACCUCUUGAAGUAUAUAAAGGAGGGUAGGGAUCCCUAUAUCGGUAGGUGAAAACCUCAUAGAACCACAAUAGAGGACCAAAUCCUCAAUACCAAAAAUCACCCAAGUGCAAGGCGCAAUAUACAACACCCUAAACAGGACGUAGGGUAUUACGCCACUUUGGCAGCCCGAACCUGUAUAAAUCUGUGCCUUGUGUCCUUAAUUUUACCUUCGAGUUAUAGGUCCGGCAAUCCCCCACCAACCAAUCUACUACCACAGGAUACCCCUUGGUAGGUUGUCGGGUAUAAAACACAGGCAUCUGGCAUGCCAGGUAGGGGUGAUCAUUGAGAUCAUCGGGCGAGUUUGAAAGACCUCAUCUUCAAAAUCAAUCUACUCGAUGAGAAGCAAGUCAUCGAGUUCCAAUUCGAAAUGGAUACGAGAAGUUUGCGGGAGAUCAAUCGGUUGUUGGCUCGUCUGUAUGCAAAAAGCUGCAGCACUAGUCAUACUGCUAUAGCUGAUCAUCCUCCGUGGCUUUGUGCGUCGCUCAACGCUGAUGAUCCGCUACUGCUCCACGCCCGUGAGAAGGAAAAAUACCGGCAAAAUAAUUUUUUCAUCUCCAAGUUGAAGUCACCGACAAUGCAUCUUAAGCUAAUUGCCUCUAGUUGUUGAAUCCUAUAUUGAAGUAAUGAAGGCUAAUCAAUAUUACAUCUAUUGCUCGUGCGCGAAUCGAGGAAACUAUAUGCUCUAGUACUCUCCAUACAAGGAUACUUUUUGGAGUUUCAUUACACGUACUAGGAAAGCCACCAGGAGAUUUGUUCCUCUUCACUACACGUACUCAUGAAAUGCACGUGGGACUUCAGCAUGCAUGAUUGCGCUGGCUUCACCAGACGCUCGGGAACACCAUAGCGACUACCUAAAACUUCUCAUCUCGACUACAAACUCGUCGAGGGCGGGUUCCACAUGAUCAACAACUAGUCAGAAUCGACUCCGACUAGUUGGCUUCAUCAACAACCGUAGCGGCUUCAACGACGAUUGCCAUGGUUUCAUCAAUAAUCGUCCACGAAUCAAGCUAAGUCACUUUUUUAAUUAUUUUAUAUAAUUUUCCCAGCUUGUUUUCUGCAUGCAAAGCAACGCGCCGACUACUUAUUUGUGUAUGCCUCUCGACGGAAAUUACCCUCUAGAGCUCCACUUUGUCAAUUAUUCAUGGGGCAUGUUAACCGACAGCCAAGGGUUUGGUACACCGAAUUACAGAGACUAUCGCCACGGGAUUGGUGCACUAAGUUUCAGAAGCUCUGCCACAGGCUUGGUACACCGAAUUAGGAGGCUCCACCAUGAAGUUUGGUGCAGGGAGCGCUGGAGGCUCGCAACGGCGCCCAAAGGAGGGAUAAAUUUUAUGCACGACAACACACGCUCUCCUCGCCAAAAAGGCAGAAAAGUCUCAACGACUAUUUUGCACGCAAUCGCGUGGUAUUUUUAUCACAAUGUCGACUACUUAUCUAUAAAGGUCUACUCUUAAUGGUCGCUAAUGUCCUCGAGUAGAACACGGCUUAUUCGUGAAAGUUUCGGAUCUUCUGCCAUGCCUAAACGCUAGGACGCGAGAUAAAGAUCUCCAUAGCAGUAGUACCAGUAUGCGUACACGAGACAAAUAUCUCACACACAGUGGCAAUGGCUAAAUAGGGACUACGAGCCUAAACAUAAUAGCCUAACUACUCAGAAAAAAUAUGGCCGAAACAAGAGCAUGACAGACAACAUUUACAUUACAUUUAUCACUGAAUAAAUUUCAGUAGUUUCAAUAUUCUACAAUAUGCUACAUAAUGUAUGCAUCUUUUUUUUCCUUUCAGGUCAAGCUUUGGUGACGACUCUCCACGACGCUCAGCGUACCUUCAGUGGCUCAGCUAGUUCCCAAACUCAGGGCUAAGCGCCAAUUACUACUCAGAAUACCUCCAGUAGCUCUGCUAGCUCUCAAGCUCGGGGGCUAAGCCCCAACAACUACUCGAUAUGGCUCCUACGGCUCACCUGUCGCAUAAGCUCAGGAGCUGGACGUCGCAAAACUACUCAGAUGAUAAUUUUGUGAAGACUGAAGACCCUCGGAUAGAUUAUUUAAUUAUUCCAAGACUUGGGGGCUGAUAAGAUACACCCAACAAUUGAUUUUUUCAAGACGAAGAAAGAAGAUUCAAGAUUUUAUUGACCCUCAUCUUGAUUAUUCGAUUCAACCUAAGGCUCGGGGGCUACUUCAUAUGGAGUGCGACUUCCGCCGCUCUCCGUAUCACAUUCCAAAGAUGAAGAUUACAAAAUUAAGAUGAUAAAGAACUUGAGCACACCAUAGCCUCAUGGAAGCUUUGAGGAACUUUGAAAAUUCAGCCAAACAAAGUACUCGAGGAGCACAAAAACUACUCGGUGAGGAUCUAAAAAGUACUCAAAGACUGCUACAUUCGACUAUGAAGCGCUCGGAGUCUUGUUGGGGAUAGAUCCCUAGUACCCACAAGGAAGGAAGAAGGCAGACUCCUACUAGAAUUCCCCUGUAAUCCUAUUAGGACUCAUAUCCUAUAAUCCUACUAGGACUCCUACAUUGUAACCGACUAGUAAUCCCACCCCUUGGAGUAUAUAAACGAGGGCAGGGAUCCCUAGAUCGGUAGGUGAAGACCUCAUAGAACCACAACAGAGGACCAAAUCCUCAAUACCAAACAACAUCCAAGCUAGGGCGCAAUAUAUAAUACCCCAAAUAGGACGUAGGGUAUUACGCUACUUUGGCAGCCCGAACCUGUAUAAAUCUGUGCCUUGUGUCCUUCCUUUACCUUCGAGUUAUAGGUCCGGCAAUCCCCCACCAACCAAUCUACUAUCACAGGAUACCCCUUGGUAGGUUGCCGGGUAUAAAACACCGAUAGUGUCUGCCACCUGCGUACGUUCGGGUGCACAGCGUUCACAAAACGCGUCGGGCCCGGCAUGAUGAAGCUGGCGGAUCGCUCCAUUCCUGGAGUGGUCAUCGGCUACGAGGCCGGGACAAAGGCCUACCGGGUGUUCGAUUCGGUGGGGAACAAGCUCAUCGUCACGCGCGAUGUCAUCUUCAACGAAAGGAGGCCAUGGAGCUAGGGGGCGACGAUGUCGUUGGCGUCGCCGCGUCUUCAGAGUUCACGGUGGAGAUUGCGACCACUGUAGCUCAUCCGACAAUGGGCGGAACUGCUUCAUCGACAGGGCCAGGGAGCCCCCACACACCAGCCACGUCUCUCCCUACCCCAGGCGCGCCAAUUUUUGCCACGCCAUCACCAGCACCCGCGGGAGGAAGUCCCACCGGAAUUCAGUGGGCCACACCACCGAGCCAAGAUGAUGUUGAUUCUGACGGAGUUCAACUCCGGUUCAGAACAAUAUCUGACCUUCUCGAUGACACAGAAGGAAUCCAUCACUUCGAGUACAGCGGGCAGUGCCUGCUAGGAGUGGAGGAGCCGAGCAGCGUCGAGCAAGAGCUGGUGGAACCACAGUGGCGCCAAGCAAUGGAAGCAGAGAUGCAGUCAAUCGAGGAGAACAGAACCUGGGAGUUUGUAGCUCUUCCUGCAGGACACCAUCCAAUCGGCCUCAAGUGGGUUUUCAAGGUCAAGAAAGAUCCAGCGGGCAAUAUAGUCAAGCACAAAGCCCGCCUAGUCGCAAAGGGAUAUGCACAGCGACAUGGAGUAGACUUUGAAGAAGUGUUCAUGCCAGUGGCGCGGAUGGAAACAGUUCGAGUGUUCUUGGCACUUGCAGCUAACGGAGGAUGGGAGGUGCAUCACAUGGAUGUGAAAUCGGUGUUCCUGAAUGGUGAUCUUGAGGAGGAAGUGUAUGUUCAGCAGCCCCCUGGUUUCUUUGUUGAUGCACAGACAGGCAAGGUUCUUAAGUUGAGGAAGGCAUUGUAUGGGUUGCGUCAGGCGUCGCGUGCCUGGAAUUCACGCCUUGACAAGGAACUGAUCGAGCUUGGUUUCAGGCGGAGCAGGCAUGAGCACGCUGUGUACCGCAGAGAGGAUGCUGGAGGAUAUUUUGUUGGCGUGUAUGUGGAUGACCUGAUCAUUACAGGUCAAAGGCUACUGAUGUCAAGGAAUUCAAGCUGGAGAUGAUGAAGAGAUUCAGUAUGAGUGAUCUUGGUCUCUUAAGUUACUAUUUGGGAAUUGAAGUCAAGCAAGGUGAAGGUGAAAUUACAUUGUGUCAAUCGUCCUAUGCUCUGAAAAUACUGGAAACAGCAGGGAUGAAAGACUGCAAUGCUUUGCAUACUCCAGUGGAAAACAGACUCAAACUGAAUAAAGAAAAUGGAGGAAAGUGGAGGCAACAAUGUUCAGAAGCAUUAUUGGUAGCCUGAGGUAUCUAGUGAAUACAAGAUCAGAUUUAGCUCAUUUAGUUAGUCUGGUUAGCAGGUUCAUGGAGGCUCCAGGUGUGCAGCACUGGGCAGCGCUGAAACACAUUCUUCGCUAUCUGAAGGGCACCAUUGGCUAUGGAUGCUGCUACAAAAGGGGUACCUCACCUAUCCCUGUACUUGUUGGAUUCAGCGAUAGUGAUUUUGCUGGGGAUGUUGAUGACCGAAAGAGCACCACUGGUGUGGCUUUUUACCUUGGCACAAGCUUGGUUACUUGAUCAUCGCAGAAGAAGAAAAUUGUAGCUUUGAGUUCAUGUGAGGCAGAGUAUAUUGCAGCCGCGGCAGCAGCGUGUCAGGGGGUGUGGCUGAGCAGACUUGUGAGUGAAAUGCUUGGUAGUACACCUCAGCCGGCAAGAUUGUUAGUGGAUAACAAGUCGGCAAUUGCUCUAAGCAGGAAUCCAGUGCAUCAUGAGAGAAGUAAGCACAUUGAUAUCAAAUAUCACUACAUUCGUGAGUGCAUUGAUGAAGGCAAGGUGAAGAUCGAUCACGUCGGCACAGGAGAUCAGGUGGCUGACAUUCUCACCAAGGCUCUUGGGCGAAACAAGUUCAUGGAACUGAGGCAGAAGCUCGAAGCAGUAGCUGUGCAACAAGAUUAGGGGGUGAAAUGUUGAAUAACUUGUUGCACACAUGCAUGUUUCUCUUUGGUUCAGUAGCGCAUUGUCACGUUGUUUAGGUGCAUUGCAUAAUUAGCUAGGCGUUUAGAGGUCACGAGUUAGCCUGAGGCGUGCACGUAGCGGGUGUCGCGGACAACAACGCGUGUCGCGCACCGUUGGUGGUGUGGCGUGGGAUUCGGUCGUUAAGGCAUGUAAUUCGGUGCAUAAAUACAAGUUUGUUUGGCAUCGAGGCUGCAACAUUCUGCAGCGAAAUACUUCCUACUCUCUCACGUUGUGUUGGUGUUCAUCGUGUUCCUCGAGUUCUAGACGCGUUCGCGUUCCUGUGUGCGUGAUCUGAGCUGCAAACUGAGUUCAGCUCCAACAAUGUAGAGCCCGUGUCAGCGUUGUCGCCGCUGUCGACACGCGCCGGCUUGGAGAACGUGAGCUCGGCGAAGUGAUUUCGGGGAUACUCAGGGGACGGCGCGGCGGCGUGGUGGGUUGGGUUGCCGUCGUCAUUGCUGCCGGAGCGCGUGGUGUCGAGGACGGGGAUGGAGAGCGCCCGGCGAUGUGUCGUGGGCUCUGGCGCGGAGGUGUUGCCGUGGCCGGUGGUGAAGGUGCGUCACGAGUGACGUGGGCGUUCCUCGCAAUCGACGGCCGCCGCUGAGGAGAGCCCGAGCUCGGGGAGGCAAUCAUCGCAAAUGGUGGUGUCGUCGGCGAGGAUGCACCGCGUGGCGACGUUGGGGUCGAGGCGGCGUCGACGGUCGUGGCCGGGGAAACUGACGGCAUCAACACGGCGUCCGCGAGAGCGCGGGGGAAGAGGUCGGCGGUCGUCGCGCUGGCGGUAGGGGAGGCCGUGCACGAGCUGGGGCUGUGGGCGCUUCCCGCGGCGUCGACGGCCCGCCGGGGGAGGAUCACGGCGCGGGCGGGAGCAUCCUUCAGCGGCGUUCCGGAUCUGCAGACGUGAGGUUGCCAAUCGUACCUGGGGUUGGAGGCCGUCGUCGUCCACCAGUGUCGGCGAUGCGGAGGGCGAGGGCCGUAGUAGUGCGUCGCGGAACGGCGUGGGGGAGGCCUCCGGUAGCUCCUCGUCGGAGAGGUCGUCGUCGGAGUCGGAGUCCAUCCAGCGGAGCUCCUUGGAGCGGCCGCCAGAGGCGCCCAUGGGGUGGAAGGGCUGAGCCUGAGCGCGUCAUUUGGAUACUGCUGAUUUGUUGGUUUAUUUAUUCGACCUAUAGGCCGUCCGGCAGUUCAAUAAUAAUACAGUAUAGACAUGGGUGGGAUGGUGAGUGGAGGCCCCAAGUCCCCAACGAUACAGUGGGCCGAGUACUGCCCACAAUGCGCAGG
rnacentral:lncRNA from 1 species